rnacentral:rRNA from 1 species
GAUGAACGCUAGCUACAGGCUUAACACAUGCAAGUCGAGGGGCAUCAGUUUGGUUUGCUUGCAAACCAAAGCUGGCGACCGGCGCACGGGUGAGUAACACGUAUCCAACCUGCCUCAUACUCGGGGAUAGCCUUUCGAAAGAAGAUUAAUAUCCGAUAGCAUAUAUUUCCCGCAUGGGUUUUAUAUUAAAGAAUUCGGUAUGAGAUGGGGAUGCGUUCCAUUAGUUUGUUGGCGGGGUAACGGCCCACCAAGACUACGAUGGAUAGGGGUUCUGAGAGGAAGGUCCCCCACAUUGGAACUGAGACACGGUCCAAACUCCUACGGGAGGCAGCAGUGAGGAAUAUUGGUCAAUGGACGAGAGUCUGAACCAGCCAAGUAGCGUGGAGGACGACGGCCCUACGGGUUGUAAACUCCUUUUAUAAGGGGGUAUAAAAGUUGGCCAUGUAUGGCCAUUUGCAGGUACCUUAUGAAUAAGCAUCGGCUAAUUCCGUGCCAGCAGCC